UAUAUCUAUCACGAUCCCACUUCGACGGCUCUUUCCACAAGGGUUAGGCCACCGGCUUCGGGUGUUACCGACUUUCAUGACUUGACGGGCGGUGUGUACAAGGCCCGGGAACGUAUUCACCCGCAGCGUUGCUGAUCUGCGAUUACUAGCGACUCCGACUUUCAUGAGGUCGAGUUGCAGACCUCAAUCCGAACUGAGACCGGCUUUUUGGGAUUCGCUCCACCUUACGGUAUCGCAGCCCUUUGUACCGGCCAUUGUAGCAUGCGUGAAGCCCAAGACAUAAGGGGCAUGAUGAUUUGACGUCAUCCCCACCUUCCUCCGAGUUGACCCCGGCAGUCUCCUAUGAGUCCCCGCCAUAACGCGCUGGCAACAUAGAACGAGGGUUGCGCUCGUUGCGGGACUUAACCCAACAUCUCACGACACGAGCUGACGACAACCAUGCACCACCUGUACACCGACCACAAGGGGGCAACCAUCUCUGGCCGUUUCCGGUGUAUGUCAAGCCUUGGUAAGGUUCUUCGCGUUGCAUCGAAUUAAUCCGCAUGCUCCGCCGCUUGUGCGGGCCCCCGUCAAUUCCUUUGAGUUUUAGCCUUGCGGCCGUACUCCCCAGGCGGGGCGCUUAAUGCGUUAGCUACGACACAGAAACCGUGGAAAGGUCCCUACAUCUAGCGCCCAACGUUUACGGCGUGGACUACCAGGGUAUCUAAUCCUGUUCGCUCCCCACGCUUUCGCUCCUCAGCGUCAGUUACGGCCCAGAGAUCUGCCUUCGCCAUCGGUGUUCCUCCUGAUAUCUGCGCAUUCCACCGCUACACCAGGAAUUCCAAUCUCCCCUACCGCACUCUAGUCUGCCCGUACCCACUGCAAGCCCGAGGUUGAGCCUCGGGAUUUCACAGCAGACGCGACAAACCGCCUACGAGCUCUUUACGCCCAAUAAUAUCCGGACAACGCUUGCACCCUACGUAUUACCGCGGCUGCUGGCACGUAGUUAGCCGGUGCUUUUUCUGCAGGUACCGUCACUUACGCUUCUUCCCUACUAAAAGAGGUUUACAACCCGAAGGCCGUCAUCCCUCACGCGGCGUUGCUGCAUCAGGCUUUCGCCCAUUGUGCAAUAUUCCCCACUGCUGCCUCCCGUAGGAGUCUGGGCCGUGUCUCAGUCCCAGUGUGGCCGGUCACCCUCUCAGGCCGGCUACCCGUCGUCGCCUUGGUGAGCCAUUACCUCACCAACAAGCUGAUAGGCCGCGAGUCCAUCCCCAACCAAAAAAUCUUUCCACCACCAGACCAUGCGGCCGGCAGUCAUAUCCAGUAUUAGACGUCGUUUCCAACGCUUAUCCCAGAGUCAGGGGCAGGUUACUCACGUGUUACUCACCCGUUCGCCACUAAUCCACCCAGCAAGCUGGGCAUCAUCGUUCGACUUGCAUGUG
rnacentral:rRNA from 1 species